UCCAAAUUUAUAUUUACGCGUACGGCUUGCGAAAGAAAAUGUUCAUCUUUAUGAUAAGGAUUUUAUUACACACAUUCGACCAGAGCAUGGACUCCGUUCGCCGAAAUCCGUUCGCCGCAACACUCAAUCUGCACUCAUUUGCAUUCAUGAGAGAGUGCCGUCACUCACUUUUCAUUUAGAAAUCCGUUCGUUCCCGUUUGUAUGGGACGAAAUUCGCGAGGUUUUGAAGCAAUCGUCACUCGCCUUCCAACCAUGACCAAACGCACCCAUCAUCAAGGUGUUGACCAAAAUUUCGCUGUGUGCAUUAGACACACACUCGCUCCUCCAGCCCUCCAUAGCUCAACGCUCCCGCCGUUGCGAUGAUUGGAGAAUUUUCGUUCUGAGUGUGAUACCCUGAAGCGCAAGAGAUGACACUAUCAGCCAUAGCAUGGACUCCGUUCGCCGAAAUCCGCAUGAUGUGAACGUUCGAAACUUAUUGCCAGAACGAAUGCAAAGUUCAUUUGGGAACGAUCUGUGCCGGGUAAUGCAGUGAAAAUCAUUUAAUGUUUAAUGUUUAAUGUUUAAUGUUUAAGUUAAAAAUUGUUCGGAUCAUUAAAUUAACACGUUGACGCACACUGAACGAUACGACGUGGGAGCGCGCUCAGGGACAACCCAAGUAGCAACCGAAGCCUGUUUCUCCCAGUUUCAACCCCCUCAUGUCCAAAAACUGCCUUCACUCACUAUACCUAUCCCAUUCCUACAUUCUACAACGUUUGUUGCGUUCUCGCUCUUCAGGGUGUUAGUCAAUUCUCUCUUGCCACACGAAGAGAAUUCUCCUGCACACUUCGUGUAUUUGAUUCUACCCAUCCCUGUUGAACACAAGUAAUUUUCUUCCAUUGCACUCAUCUGGGUGUUUGCUCUUUUCCAUCCAAGCCAAAGAGCGACUUCAGUGUGCUCUGAACCGUGGACGUGAGAGUGUGUGCUGCGUGAACUAUUUUUCCUGCGUAAAACACUUUCCCGUACUGCACCAUCCGCGGUGUUCUUUCUGCUUUAUCGGAGGACAAAUUGUUUACCUCUAAUUGUUUCGAUGUGUGCUGCUACCGCUAGCUGUUCGCCAAACCUCUUCAAAUUGCGACAAUGUGUGCACAGGCGUUCAAUGUUCAAUUGAUCUUCAAGCCUAAAGCCUUCAUACAACACCGCAGUUGAGGCGCGCCAAAUCUGAUGACAUCUUCCCUGAACCAAGCAGGCUGAACACUCGCACCACCAAACGGGCUCCAGCGCGGAGUGAAGAGGGAAAAAGAAGAGAAGACAGAAUUGGAAACAGCCGCGCCAGGAUACCAACCACCGUGUGUUAGGCAUGUGUAAAAUGAACGAGAAUCGCACCGUUCGAACAGUUCGGUAAAGUGCACGAACGAACGAGGUUCUUAACAAAAAGAACGACCAGGACUUUUGGAAGAAACUGACUACACCGAACGCGUUCGAACGUUCCGGUCAGUGUUCGACGGCACACAUAAAUGUGGUAAUGAAACGUGCAAAAUCAUAUUGCUUUCUCGCUUUUUCUCGCACCGUGCGAACGGGUCGUCAGAGAUCAAAAUGUACCCUG